AGCUUUGCACAGUGGCAGUAUCGUAGCCAAUGAGGUUUAUCCAAGGCACGAUUACUGUUAAUCUA
rnacentral:snRNA from 1 species